GAACGGUGUCUUCGGACACAGUGGCGGACGGGUGAGUAACGCGUGAGAAUCUGGCUUUAGGUCUGGGACAACCACUGGAAACGGUGGCUAAUACCGGAUGUGCCCUUAGGGGUGAAAGGUUAACUGCCUGAAGAUGAGCUCGCGUCUGAUUAGCUAGUUGGUGUGGUAAGAGCGCACCAAGGCGACGAUCAGUAGCUGGUCUGAGAGGACGAUCAGCCACACUGGGACUGAGACACGGCCCAGACUCCUACGGGAGGCAGCAGUGGGGAAUUUUCCGCAAUGGGCGAAAGCCUGACGGAGCAAUACCGCGUGAGGGAGGAAGGCUCUUGGGUCGUAAACCUCUUUUCUCAGGGAAGAACACAAUGACGGUACCUGAGGAAUAAGCAUCGGCUAACUCCGUGCCAGCAGCCGCGGUAAUACGGAGGAUGCAAGCGUUAUCCGGAAUGAUUGGGCGUAAAGCGUCCGCAGGUGGCUAUGUAAGUCUGCUGUUAAAGAGUCUAGCUCAACUAGAUAAGAGCAGUGGAAACUACAAGGCUAGAGUGCGUUCGGGGCAGAGGGAAUUCCUGGUGUAGCGGUGAAAUGCGUAGAGAUCAGGAAGAACACCGGUGGCGAAGGCGCUCUGCUAGGCCGCAACUGACACUGAGGGACGAAAGCUAGGGGAGCGAAUGGGAUUAGAUACCCCAGUAGUCCUAGCCGUAAACGAUGGAUACUAGGCGUGGCUUGUAUCGACCCGAGCCGUGCCGUAGCUAACGCGUUAAGUAUCCCGCCUGGGGAGUACGCCGGCAACGGUGAAACUCAAAGGAAUUGACGGGGGCCCGCACAA
rnacentral:rRNA from 2 species